AUAGGACUUCGGUUCUGAUGGCGACCGGCGCACGGGUGAGUAACGCGUACACUACCUACCUUUAACAGAGGGAUAGCCCUGGGAAACUGGGAUUAAUACCACAUAGUAUUGCAUAUUUUAUUUUUAUGCAAUUAAAGCUCCGGCGGUUAAAGAUGGGUGUGCGUUAGAUUAGCUAGUUGGUAAGGUAAUGGCUUACCAAGGCUACGAUCUAUAGGGGGCGUGAGAGCGUGGACCCCCACACGGGUACUGAGACACGGACCCGACUCCUACGGGAGGCAGCAGUAAGGAAUAUUGGACAAUGGGCGCAAGCCUGAUCCAGCCAUCCCGCGUGAAGGAUGACGGCCCUAUGGGUUGUAAACUUCUUUUAUUAGGGAAGAAACCUUUUCAUUUAUGAAGAGCUGACGGUACCUAAAGAAUAAGCACCGGCUAACUCCGUGCCAGCAGCCGCGGUAAUACGGAGGGUGCAAGCGUUAUCCGGAAUCACUGGGUUUAAAGGGUGCGUAGGCGGAUAAAUAAGUCAGAGGUGAAAGCUUUCCGCUUAACGGGAAAAUUGCCUUUGAAACUGUUUAUCUUGAAUUAUGUUGAGGUUAGCGGAAUGUGACAUGUAGCGGUGAAAUGCAUAGAUAUGUCAUAGAACACCAAUUGCGAAGGCAGCUAGCUAGGCAUAUAUUGACGCUGAGGCACGAAAGCGUGGGGAGCGC
rnacentral:rRNA from 1 species